AGCCCAUGGAAAUGGUAUAGACUUAAUAAAUCUUUAUAAUUCUCCCACGCGUCAAAGAAUUAUUCCAUAUCUUCUUGCCUGAAGUUGUUAAUCUCAUUCCUAACUUU